rnacentral:rRNA from 1 species
GACGAACGCUGGCGGCGUGCUUAACACAUGCAAGUCGAGCGGUAAGGCCCUUUCGGGGGUACACGAGCGGCGAACGGGUGAGUAACACGUGGGUGACCUGCCCUCAGCUCUGGGGAUAAGCCUGGGAAACCGGGUCUAAUACUGGAUAUGACUCCAUGACGCAUGUUGUGGGGUGGAAAGCCUUGUGCGGCUGAGGAUGGGCCCNGGCCUAUCAGCUUGUUGGUGGGGUGANGGCCUACCAAGGCGACGACGGGUAGCCGGCCUGAGAGGGCGACCGGCCACACUGGGACUGAGACACGGCCCAGACUCCUACGGGAGGCAGCAGUGGGGAAUCUUGCGCAAUGGGCGAAAGCCUGACGCAGCGACGCCGCGUGAGGGAUGACGGCCU